rnacentral:rRNA from 1 species
ACGGCCAUACCACAUUGAAAACAUCGGUUCUCGUCCGAUCACCGAAGUUAAGCAAUGUCGGGCCCGGUCAGUACUUGGGAGGGUGACCACCUGGGAACACCAGGUGCUGUAGGCU